rnacentral:rRNA from 1 species
UACGUAGGGACCGAGCGUUGUCCGGAAUCAUUGGGCGUAAAGAGCGUGUAGGCGGCCUGGUUAAGUCUUGCGUGAAAUCUCGGGGCCUCAACCCCGAGCGGUCGUGAGAAACGUGGCAGGCUAGAGUGCGGGAGAGGAGAGUGGAAUUCCUGGUGUAGCGGUGAAAUGCGCAGAGUAUCAGGAGAACACCCGUGGCGAAGGCGGCUCUCGUGGAACGCAACCUGGACGCUGAGACGCGAAAGCGUGGGGAGCAAACAGG